rnacentral:rRNA from 1 species
GACGAACGCUGGCGGCGUGCUUAACACAUGCAAGUCGAGCGGAAAGGCCUGCUUUCCCUUGUGGAUUGCGGGUACUCGAGUGGCGAACGGGUGAGUAACACGUGAGUGAUCUGCCCCCAACUUGGGUAUAAGCCUGGGAAACUGGGUCUAAUUCCCGAUAGGACUGCAGGGUGGUGCCUGUGGUGGAAAACGAUUUUCUAGUGGUUGGGGAUGAGCUCGCGGCCUAUCAGCUUGUUGGUGGGGUAAUGGCCUACCAAGGCGGCGACGGGUAGCCGGCCUGAGAGGGUGGACGGCCACAUUGGGACUGAGAUACGGCCCAGACUCCUACGGGAGGCAGCAGUGGGGAAUAUUGCACAAUGGGCGGAAGCCUGAUGCAGCGACGCCGCGGGGGGGAUGACGGCCUUCGGGUUGUAAACUCCUUUCGACCGCGAGGAAGCCACCUGGUUGGAAGGGUGGUGACGGUAGUGGUAGAAGAAGCACCGGCUAACUACGUG